ACGCUGGCGGCGUGCUUAACACAUGCAAGUCGAACGAACCUUCGGGUUAGUGGCGGACGGGUGAGUAACGCGUGAGAAUCUGCCCUCAGGAGGGGGAUAACGGUUGGAAACGACCGCUAAUACCCCAUAUGCCUAUUGGUGAAAUGAAUUUCGCCUGAGGAUGAGCUCGCGUCUGAUUAGCUAGUUGGUGAGGUAAUGGCUCACAAAGGCUUCGAUCAGUAGCUGGUCUGAGAGGAUGAUCAGCCACACUGGGACUGAGACACGGCCCAGACUCCUACGGGAGGCAGCAGUGGGGAAUUUUCCGCAAUGGGCGAAAGCCUGACGGAGCAACGCCGCGUGAGGGACGAAGGCCUCUGGGCUGUAAACCUCUUUUCUCAAGGAAGAAGAUAUGACGGUACUUGAGGAAUAAGCCACGGCUAAUUCCGUGCCAGCAGCCGCGGUAAUACGGGAGUGGCAAGCGUUAUCCGGAAUUAUUGGGCGUAAAGCGUCCGCAGGCGGCCUAUCAAGUCUGCUGUUAAAGCGUGGAGCUUAACUCCAUUAUUGCAGUGGAAACUGAUAGGCUUGAGUAUGGUAGGGGCAGAGGGAAUUCCCGGUGUAGCGGUGAAAUGCGUAGAUAUCGGGAAGAACACCAGUGGCGAAGGCGCUCUGCUGGGCCAUUACUGACGCUCAUGGACGAAAGCCAGGGGAGCGAAAGGGAUUAGAUACCCCUGUAGUCCUGGCCGUAAACGAUGAACACUAGGUGUCGGGGGAAUCGACCCCUUCGGUGUCGUAGCUAACGCGUUAAGUGUUCCGCCUGGGGAGUACGCA
rnacentral:rRNA from 1 species